rnacentral:rRNA from 1 species
GACGAACGCUGGCGGCGUGCUUCAUACAUGCAAGUCGAACGCGAAUCGGUAGCUUGCUACCGAGGAAAGUGGCGGACGGGUGAGUAAUGUGUAGAGAAUCUGCCCUAGAGCGGGGGACAACAGCUGGAAACGGUUGCUAAUACCCCAUAUGAGCGUAUCUGAAAUGGUAUUCUUGAAAACUCCGGUGCUCUAGGAUGAGUCUGCAUCUGAUUAGCUAGUUGGGGGUGUAAUGGACCACCAAGGCGACGAUCAGUAGCUGGUUUGAGAGGAUGAUCAGCCACAAUGGGACUGAGACACGGCCCAUACUCCUACGGGAGGCAG